GCGGGGUUGGCAGAAUGGUUAUGCGCCGGCCUGCAGAGCCGAGGAAGAGGGUUCAAUUCCCUCACCCCGCU
rnacentral:tRNA from 1 species